UUGAAAGGGAAACGAUUGAAGUCAGUCGUCGCACCGGGAAAUCAAUUCAUAGAGCGGAAUGUUGGGUCGUGAAGAGUGAUAAAACCUUUGGGGUUCAGAUAUUUUCACUUUUUGAACGUAUUUUCUCGUACGGUAGGUUAACAUCGAUUUUGAGCAUCAUAAAAUGAUCGGAGGAAAGUAGCUUCGAUCUCGUAUUGAAGUAUGAUAGCCUCUGGUGGAGGUGAUGAACAAGAGCGAGGAGAGCAACGAAUACCCCCUUGGGCUCUCCCUGUGAGGUCUCUGACGGUGCCUCGGUAACGGAAACCUGCCUACCGUAUUGCAAUAUCGCGGUCAAAUGGGUUGGACCGGGUUAAAUUCGUUAAGGAUGUUGACGUA
rnacentral:rRNA from 1 species